AGCUCCAAUAGCGUAUAUUAAAGUUGUUGCGGUUAAAAGCUCGUAGUUGGAUUUCUGCUGAAACUAACCGGUCCGUACUAUGUGCGUGUUAUCUGGAGUAGUUUCGGCAUCCUCUCGAAGAGUGCUGCGCUUUACUGCGUGGUUCGUUAUUCGAGACGUUUACUUUGAGGAAAUUAGAGUGUUCACGGCAAGCCUACGCCUUGAAUAUGUUAGCAUGGAAUAAUAUUAUAGGACCUUAGUUCUAUUUUGUUGGUUUCUAGAAUUAGGGUAAUGAUUAAUAGGGAUAAUCGGGGGCAUUUGUAUUAACGCGUCAGAGGUGGAAUUCUUGGAUUGCGUUACGACAAACUACUGCGAAAGCAUUUGCCAAGGAUGUUUUCA
rnacentral:rRNA from 1 species